CUAUUAAAUGGCGCUGUUCGGAAGGGGGAACGCAUAGUACCACAUGCUGUACUUGAUCUACUCAUGCGGGCGACUUUUCCUGCUUCUACAGCUCGAGUCAAGGCAACUGAAAGAUUUGAGACGUUUUAUCCUACUCUAAAAGAGUUGGCUCUUACUGGUUCUAGUACCAAAACCACAAAGCAAGCGUCACAACAGCUUUUGCCUUUUGCCAUCCAAGCGAUUCAAGAAAAUAAUUCCGAGCUAACAAAGGAAGCGACGGAUUUG